ensembl:snRNA RNU6-669P RNA, U6 small nuclear 669, pseudogene
GUGCUCGCUUUGACAGCACAAAUACUAAAAUUGGAAUGAUACAGAGAAGAUUAACAUGGCCCCAGUGCAAGGAUGACAUGCAAAUUCAUGAAGCAUUCCGUAUGUUA